rnacentral:tRNA from 1 species
AUUAAGAUGGCAGAGCCUGGUAAAUGCAAAAGAUCUAAACCCUUUCUCCGAGAGUUCAAAUCCCUCCCUUAAUA